rnacentral:rRNA from 1 species
AACAGGGAUUGCCCCAGUAACGGCGAGUGAAGCGGCAAAAGCUCAAAUUUGAAAUCUGGCUUCCAUUUCGGGGGUCCGAGUUGUAAUUUGAAGAGGAUGCUUUGGGUGUGACCGUGGCGUAAGUCCCUUGGAACAGGGCGUCGUAGAGGGUGAGAAUCCCGUCUUCAGUCGCUGGUUCACGCCCGUUUAAAGCUCCUUCGACGAGUCGAGUUGUUUGGGAAUGCAGCUCUAAGUGGGUGGUAAAUUUCAUCUAAAGCUAAAUACUGGCCGGAGACCGAUAGCGAACAAGUAGAGUGAUCGAAAGGUUAAAAGCACCUUGAAAAGGGAGUUAAAAAGCACGUGAAAUUGUUGAAAGGGAAGCGCUUGCAAUCAGACUCGGGCCCAGGGGCUCAGGGGGCAUGUUUGCCCCUGUACUCCCCUGGGCUUGGGCCAGCAUCAGCUCCGACGGCCGGUCAAAGGCCCCUGGAAUGUGUCGUCCUCCGGGACGUCUUAUAGCCAGGGGUGCAAUGCGGCCAGUUGGGGCUGAGGAACGCGCUUCGGCACGGAUGCUGGCAUAAUGGUUGUAAGCGGCCCGUCUUGAAACACGGACCAAGGAGUCUAACAUCCACGCGAGUGUUCGGGUGUCAAACCCGUGCGCGCAGUGAAAGCGAACGGAGGUGAGAGCCCGCAAGGGUGCAUCAUCGACCGAUCCUGAAGUCUUCGGAUGGAUUUGAGUAAGAGCGUGGCUGUUGGGACCCGAAAGAUGGUGAACUAUGCCUGAAUAGGGUGAAGCCAGAGGAAACUCUGGUGGAGGCUCGCAGCGGUUCUGACGUGCAAAUCGAUCGUCAAAUUUGGGUAUAGGGGCGAAAGACUAAUCGAACCAUCU